rnacentral:rRNA from 1 species
CUGCAGUCGACGGUAACAGCGGGAGCUUGCUCCUGGCUGACGAGUGGCGGACGGGUGAGUAACACGUAGGAAUCUACCUAGCAGUGGGGGACAACCCGGGGAAACCCGGGCUAAUACCGCAUACGCUCUAUGGAGGAAAGCGGGGGAUCUUCGGACCUCGCGCUGUAUGAGGAGCCUGCGUCGGAUUAGCUAGUUGGUGGGGUAAAGGCCUACCAAGGCGACGAUCCGUAGCUGGUCUGAGAGGACGAUCAGCCACACUGGAACUGAGACACGGUCCAGACUCCUACGGGAGGCAGCAGUUAGGAAUCUUGGGCAAUGGGCGAAAGCCUGACCCAGCCAUGCCGCGUGUGUGAAGAAGGCCUUCGGGUUGUAAAGCACUUUCAGCGGUGAAGAAAAGCUCGGGGCUAAUACCCCUCGAGUUUUGACGUUAACCGCAGAAGAAGCACCGGCUAACUCCGUGCCAGCAGCCGCGGUAAUACGGAGGGUGCGAACGUUAAUCGGAAUCACUGGGCGUAAAGCGCGCGUAGGCGGUUUGUUAAGUGGGAUGUGAAAUCCCCGGGCUUAACCUGGGAAUUGCGUUCCAAACUGGCCGACUAGAGUACGGUAGAGGGAGGUAGAAUUUCCUGUGUAGCGGUGAAAUGCGUAGAUAUAGGAAGGAAUACCAGUGGCGAAGGCGGCCUCCUGGAUCGAUACUGACGCUGAGGCGCGAAAGCGUGGGGAGCAAACAGGAUUAGAUACCCUGGUAGUCCACGCCGUAAACGAUGAGAACUAGCCGUUGGAUCCCUUGAGGGUUUAGUGGCGUAGCUAACGCGAUAAGUUCUCCGCCUGGGGAGUACGGCCGCAAAGGCUAA